UAAUUCCUGAUCAGCAAGUGGUAUUUAAGAUGUCUGAAAUGAUUCGGGGCGGGUCGCCUGUGGUUUACGAUAAGAAUAAAGUUUCAAGAUUUGGUGUUUUGGACAAAUAUGCAAAAGAUGGUGAAGGUUUGAAGUGGGUAGAAGUACCUGAUUGUUUUUGUUUCCAUUUAUGGAAUGCUUGGGAAGAGCCCGAAACUGAUGAAAUUGUGGUGAUUGGUUCAUGUAUGACACCACCCGACUCGAUUUUCAAUGAAUGUGAUGAGGGAUUAAAGAGUGUUUUAUCAGAAAUUCGGCUAAACUUGAAAACUGGAAAAUCAACAAGAAGAGCAAUAAUUCAGAAGGAAGAAGAUCAGGUGAAUUUAGAAGCAGGAAUGGUGAACAGAAACAAACUUGGGAGGAAAACAAGGUUUGCAUAUUUGGCCAUUGCAGAACCAUGGCCAAAAGUUUCUGGCUUUGCAAAAGUAGACCUUUUUACUGGUGAAGUAGAAAAGUUUAUUUAUGGAGAUAACAAGUUUGGUGGGGAGCCUCUGUUUUUACCAAGAGACCCUAACAGCAAAGCAGAAGAUGAUGGUUAUAUUCUUGCUUUUGCGCACAAUGAGAAAGAAUGGAAAUCAGAGCUACAAAUUGUGAAUGCAAUGACUAUGAAAUUAGAGGCCACGGUUAAACUUCCAACAAGAGUGCCAUAUGGUUUUCAUGGUACGUUCAUAAAUGCCAAAGAUUUGGCAAAUCAGGCCUAAAAAAAAAAGAGUUGAGUUGGGGUAAAUUUGGACUAUUACAGAGGAGAUUUACCAGAGGGAUGGUUUAGAUGAUACGUCCCCGGAAUUUCUUCUUUAAUAGGGUUCUUAUAGUUUUUUCAUUUUUUUUACUUUUUAAAAAUUGUGAGAGGUUUUCAGAGACCAGCUUGUAGCUUGGAUGUAGUUAGAAAUUGGAGCUCAGCUGGUUUUUCUGCAUAUUCUUUCACAUUUUUAUGUGCAUGUGAGGGAGUAUAUACAUUAUAGGAAACUAUACUCUCUGUUUCUUGUAUAUGAAUGCUGGCCUAUACUAUUUCCACUCUCUUCUUCCAUUUUCUCUACCUUUCUCUUUUUUACCCACUCCCAUUAUUUUAUGUGCCAUUAUUUCUUAUUAAUUUAAUUUUAAACUAAAUCUCAAAACAUGUCACUGUUUGUCUACCAUUUUAAUAUCACAUGUUUUACCUUACUUUUUCUGGGUAUAGAAAAAGGAAAAAAUAUGAAACGUAAAAAUAUUUGUGAAGAAACCCAGUCGAUGGAGCAACAGUCAACUCUUACUGUUAUCUGAAGCUUAUGCUUCAAUGGAGAUGAAGCAGUGGGUCGUCCACCAUGAGAGCCCAGAGAGAGAAGAGAGAGGAUGAGAGAAGGUUCCAGAUGUGUGUAAUUUUCUGAUCAAUUGAAUUAGAAAAAGUGAGUGGAAACACCACUAUAUACAAAUCUAAAAACUAGGCACUAACUAAGCUAAGACAAUUAACUAAUUAAGAGAAUUAACUAAUUAAGAGAAUAAUAUUAUAGUUCUUAACACCCCCCCCCUCAAGUUGGAGGUGUAGCAAACACGGACAACUUGCCCAAUGCAUCGUUGUGCUUGAUCCCUGUCAGAGCUUUAGUCAAAACAUCUGCAAGUUGGUCAUCAGUUCUGAUAUGUUGAAGAGAGAUCAGACCUGCUUGGAGUUCACGUACAAAGUGACAGUCGACCUCUAUAUGCUUGGUUCUUUCGUGAAAUACUGGAUUCCUGGCAAUGUGUAAUGCAGACUGACUAUCACAGUAGACUGAAAUAGGUAGAGAAAAGGGGACAGUCAGUUCUUCAAAUAACCUGCGUAGCCACACUAAUUCACCUACAACUUUUCUCAAGGCUCGAUAUUCUGCUUCUGUAGAAGACAGUGAGAUGGUCUCUUGUUUCUUGGACUUCCAGCUGAUGGGGCUGUUACCUAGCAACACCAAAUAACCACUGAUGGACCUUCUAGAGUCUGGACAAGCAGCCCAGUCAGAGUCACAAUAAGCUCUGACUGUGUGAUCUCCAUCCUUUGACAUAAAGAUUCCCAAGGUAGGAUCAUUCUUUAGGUACCUUAGCAAAUGAAAUGCUGCUCUCAAAUGGGGCUCCCUGGGUUUCUGCAUAAACUGGCUUAAGUGUUGAACACCAUAUGCUAUAUCUAACCUAGUAUUGGUCAAGAAAUUCAGCUUCCCUACUAACUUCCUAUAAUAGGUAGGAUCCUGCAAAUCUGCUCCUUCCUUGGCCUUUAGUUUCACAUUUGGAUCCAAUGGUGAAGAGCAGGUCUUGUGUUCUAGGCAAUCAUACUCCUUUAGCAGGUUCAAUGCAAACUUCUUUUGUGAUAUAAUGACCCCAUCUUCCUUGUACAGAACCUCUAAUCCCAGGAAAUAGUGAAGCUGUCCGAGAUCCUUGAUCCUGAAUUGCUCUUGUCUAACACUAGCCCAGGUGGCACCUGCAUAUAUACCUCUUCAUUGAGAUCUCCAUGCAAGAAGGCAUUGUUUACAUCUAACUGUGAGAUGAGCCAACCUUUCUUGACUACUGUAGCUAUUAAAACUCUGACUGUUGUCAUCUUUACAACUGGGGAAAAAGUUUCUGUAUAAUCUAUUCCUGCCUGUUGAGUGUACCCUUUAACAACUAAUCUGGCCUUGAAUCUCUCAAUGCUACCAUCUGCUUUGUGUUUCACUUUGUACACCCAUCUACAUCCAAUUGCUUGCUUCCCAGGUGGCAGCACUACUAAGUCCCAUGUAUGGUUUGAAUGUAAUGCAUCAAAUUCCUGUGUCAUAGCAGCUUGCCAUGCAGGAUCAAUAGCUGCCUCCUCAUAUGAUGAUGGUUCCCUGUCAUGACAAACAUUUCUCACAAGAGCCUGACUAUCAGGAGUUAGUAGAUCAGAGGCAAUGUGUUGAUUUUCAGAAAAUAAAGCAUUUAGGGAAGUGAAAUUAUUCUUGAAUUUAGGUAAGGAGUGGACAUAGUCCUGUAGAUAUGUAGGAAAUUUAUGAGUUCUGUGUGACUGCCUAGUUGGAUGGAUUUGUUCUGUAUCUGUUUGUGCCAUGUUGUGUUCUGAUGGUGUGUUGUGUGGNNNNNNNNNNNNNNNNNNNNNNNNNUUCACUCGUUUUUUUGGAUCUUGCAGCUUCUACUCUUCUACUCAUGAUCCUUCUUCUGAAUUUUUUUUUCGGGGAGGAGGGAAAGAAAUUGCAAACGAAGUAACUUAACUCUCAAAGAUACAACAUAUAUACGAGUAAUAAAGCAUAAAUAUUUACCGUGUGUAUAUAUAUACGUAUUUCUUUUAAUCGUAUUCUCAUAGAAUAUUUAAUUUCUUGAAUAUCGUCCGAAAUACAGUCCUUAUUAAUCAUGUUUGUAUAUCGCACAUCUUUAAACCAACUACUCAAAUGCAUGAGCUUACCUCAUAUUGACUUUUGAUAAGUUUCUAACUUAAAAGCUUUAUUAACUUGCUCAACUUGCCACUUGACUAUAUAUUAGUGAAAAAGUAUUUUCAAGAUAUCCAUCUCCUGCAUGAUGUCAAGCAUUUACAUGGACAUAAAUUAUCCUCAACACUUGAAGUGAAGUACUUUUUUUAUAUAUACAAAAGCUUACAUCAUUCAUUUAUAAAAGGAUUAAGAAUGAUAACAAUAAAAAUGAUCUCUCUUGCCUUUAUUUCUGUUAAUAGUAAAAUGUAGACAUUUUCAUUCAAAAGGGUGAAGAUUGUAACAUGUAUUUAUACUCUUAAUAAUGGAUGAAAAACAUGGUUAUUGGGUGAAUGUGAGAGUCCACAACACUAAAAGAUAAUAAUUGAAUGGAAAAAAAAUAAAAAUGAUGGGGGCUAAUUGGAUGGGACACAAACGUGUGGGACAUAAUGAUGUGACAGAGAUUUAGAUUAAGUGGAGAAAUUAAACCGACACGUGUUAAGGAGGUGACCCUUGUUAAUUGGGUCGAACGCGGGUUUUUAGCCGAGUGGAAUGGACCAAUUAACGCACCCAAAACACACCCUUCACUUUAACCGAAAGUUACUUGCUUGGUCCAUUUACGAAACUUGGUCUAACUUGAAACAAUCAAACCCUUUCGUAUGUAUAUUUACGCUCGAUAUUUAUACCAAAUAAAUACUCAAAACAAAAUUCAUAUAUUUUGUCUCUCAAUUUUUAUCAUUUUAAUAUGAAUAGGUUAUGUUUUUACUUAAUUUGUGAUUUUUAUAGUUAAAUUGUCUAGUUCUUUCAUAAAAACACCAGUAAAUAUUAUUUUUUGCUAAAUUUCUAAAAGAAAAUUUGAACAGAAGAUAGCUCUUUAAUUUAAAUUUACAUCAAACUUAACUACCUUAGUACUUUUUCCAUUUUCAAGCUUUCUUUUCACAUUAAAUGUUUAUACUUUUUCCAUUUUCAAGCUUUCUUUUUUUGAUGACUUUGUCUUUCUUUCUUCUACUUUUCUUUAUUUUGUCUUUCGGUGUUAAAUUUCUUUUCACUCUUUAACAAUAAACUUUUGACUCAUUUGAAAAGACUUGUACCUUUUGCAGUUUUUCUAUCUUAUAACUAAGGAUUAGAUAUACAGAUUUACUUGCUGCUUGCAUAAACUAAAUACGACACUUAACAUGUUCGAUGCAGAUUCUUCUUCCCCUUUUGAGAGGACCUUAUAUCUCAAGAAAUUACGUUUAAGGGGCUUUUUUUAGAAUUACCAUUUAUAUUUUGAUGCCAUUAAGAAAUAUUUUUAGUAAAAUAGCUCCCGUCCGAAUUUUAAAUUUCGUUAAUUCUUAUAGCGUGCUUCAAAAUUCAGGCAAUAUGCGUUAGAAUUCUGGCAGUAUGCUUCAAAAUUCUGACAACAUAUUUUAAAAUUAUGCCAUCGAGCCGGAUUAUUUUUGGAACUUUUUUAACCGGGGUAAAAAAUCAACAGUGACAUAAAAGUAUUCUAUUUGUGUCAUUCUCCCCUUAAACCUUCUCUGAGGUUGUCUAUUACCAUUACAUUAAACUACAAAUUUUUCCUUCACUCCUUAACAAUCACUAAGAUUUUGUUGAAUGUUAGCUAAUUGCCAUUUAAAAGAACUUAAAACAAAGAGCUCUCUUAUUUGUUGAGGUUGAGGCCGUUGGUAAUGAGGAUACUGUUACUUGGGAGGUGGAAAACAAGAAAAUUCGUCGGGUCAACUUAUGAUUUUAAUGACAAUUAACUCUUUUAUUUAAUUAAAAGACAACCCAAAUAAGAUCAAAAAAAUUCUGAAAAUCAUACAUCAGGAAAACUUUUUAAAAAAUGGCGUAUGAGCAGCAUGUAUGUGUCAAAGAAAAUUCGGCGAUCAAUGGUUUAUAUUUCGAACUAUAGUAUUAUAAAUUGUAAAAGAAAAAAACUAUUACUAUAUUAAAAAUUCAAAUUGUGAUAUCUUGACAUGUGUUAGCUAAAUAUCAGUAACAGCGUAAAGACCUUUUAUAACGAGAGUCAUCCAUCCUAUAUUGGUUGGCAAAAAGUAUUUACUAUUUAUAUUUCUUUUAGAACAAUAGGUGCAUGUAAGUAUAGUAGAUUAGUGAUGCUUAAAAAGCCUUAGAACGUCUAUAACUCCAUACUCAAAUACAAAUAGAAAUAUAAUUUGAUAAACUAAUAUUUCUUCCAAAAAGUCUUGCGUAUAUGUUUCUGAUUUCUUAUUAAUUACGAAAGAAGGAAAAUAGUGGCAAAAGUUUACUAUAUAAAAGCAUACUAAUAAUGAUGUAGAAACAAUGUAGGGGACCCUCAAUUAGGGGUGUCAAUGGAUAUUUAAAAACCGACUAAAUCGAUCGAUUCAUAUCGAACCGAACCGAUUUUAGGUUUUUUUUUAAUAAUAAAAUCGUACGUUUGUUUUAAUAAAAACGCAGGUUUUUACAUAAAUCUAUAACCGUACCGAUAAUUAGGGUAGAAUUUUUAUUUUACAAAAAUAAAUCGAAAAAUUACCGAACCUUACCGAAUAAAUUUACAUGUAUAUCUAUACAUUAAGUUUAAAAAUAAUAAAAUAUUAAAUUUUUCCUUGGACGUUGGAAUUAUGAAAAUAGUUACAAGCCACAAGUAAUUAAACUCAAAAUCCUAAUAUCCAAACAUAUUAUGCUACUCCUAUUGAAACUAAAUUAUUUCCAUCAUAUUCACUAGCAAGAUACAAGUUAUUCUAGCAAUUAUGAGUAGUAAACUACAAUAUGUUAGAAUAUGUUUCCUUUCAUAUGAUUUAGAUUUAUCUUUUUGAAUAUUAAUCUUCUAUAGACUUUAUUUCUUGAAUCUCAACUUGGUUAAUAUCUUUCCACUCGUAUGAUAUAUAUUUGCUUAAUUUCUUUUACGCUGUUGUAGAAUAGUUGAUGGAUCUAUUAUCCGGUCAUCUUUCAUGUUUUCUUAAUUUAUCACUCUUUAAAUAGUAAAAAUAUUUAGAGAGUUUGGUUAAAUCCUAUACAAGUACGUGUUUUAUUGCAUUCUACUUCUAAUAGUGACUUUUAUAUGACAUUAAAAAAGAUACCAAAAAUUAAUCGAACCGUACCGAUACCGAAGAGUAACCGAUAUGAUUGAGACGGUUUCGAAGAGUCUAAUUUUAAUUAUACAUAAUAGAAUAAUCAAAAAAUUGGUAUGAUACAAAAUUUAUAAAAUAACUGGCUGAACCGAACCAUUGACACCCCUACCCUUAAUGGGCCAUUUUUUUUUUAAACCGCUCCCAAAUUAAAAAAAAUUUAUAGUGUUUUCAAAUUUCUCAUCCAGCGUGAUUCGACCCGUGGAGGUACUUUUAAUCAAUGGAGCAAGGCUUACUUGUCCAACGGAUCAUCUCAUUUGUUAGUAUUAUUAGUGUUAGUAGUAAAGACAAUUAAGCGUCCAAAUAUGCAAUUUUCACAUAUCCAACACGUGGUCUUCUCCUACAUGUUAGAAGGUGGACCCCAUCCCACACUUUCCCCUACUCUAUAUAUACAAUUCUCCCUCUUCUCUCUCCCCCCACAACUUAACCAACUCACCUUAAAAAAAACUCUCAUUUCCCACCUCUUUUCUCUCCAAAACUCUCACAUUUUCCUUCACAAUAACACACCCAAAAGCACUCAAAUACAAACAUCAAAAAUAGGUAACUAUGGCAUCUACAACUCCUGCUUCAAAUACAUGGAUUAAGCCCAAGUUAUCAAUGCCAUCUUCAAGAGACUUGGCUUAUUCUUCAAACUCCAUUUCACUAGUUAAAAAACAGCCUAACAGACAACUUCCUAGUAUUAAUUCCUCACUCCAAGCUCCUCCAAUUCUCCAUUUUCCAAAACAAUCUCCAAAUUAUCAAACACCCAAAACUACUACUAUUCCCACUUCAAAACCAACCACAAUUUCAUAUCCAAAACAAGAAAGUACUAAUUCUUCUUCUUCUACAACAAGUCCUCAAUGGAAUUUAGUCCAAAAAGCAGCAGCAAUGGCUUUAGAUGCCGUGGAAAGUGUCUUAACAAAACACGAACUCGAACACCCUUUACCAAAAACAGCCGACCCACGUGUCCAAAUUUCCGGGAAUUUCGCUCCGGUACCGGAAAAUCCCGUCUCUCACUCCCUUCCGGUCACCGGAAAAAUACCCAAAUGUGUUCAAGGCGUUUACGUUCGUAACGGCGCUAACCCGCUUUUCGAACCAACCGCCGGACACCAUUUCUUUGACGGUGACGGCAUGGUUCACGCCGUCCAAUUCAAAAAUGGCUCCGCAAGUUACGCUUGUCGUUUCACUGAAACUGAACGGCUCGUUCAAGAAAAAGCUUUGGGUCGUCCUGUUUUUCCUAAAGCCAUUGGUGAAUUACAUGGCCACUCGGGAAUUGCAAGGCUCAUGCUUUUCUAUGCACGUGGACUGUUUGGACUUGUUGAUCACAGUAGAGGAACUGGAGUUGCAAACGCUGGUUUAGUUUAUUUCAACAACCGUUUGCUUGCUAUGUCCGAGGAUGAUUUACCGUACCAUGUACGUGUAACACCAACUGGUGACCUUAAAACUGUCGGAAGAUUCGAUUUUGAUGGUCAGUUGAAAUCCACAAUGAUAGCUCACCCAAAACUCGACCCUGUUUCAGGGGAGUUAUUUGCUUUGAGCUACGAUGUGAUUCAAAAACCGUACCUUAAGUAUUUCAGGUUUUCGAAAAAUGGGGAGAAAUCCAAUGAUGUUGAAAUCCCAGUUGAAGAUCCAACAAUGAUGCAUGAUUUUGCUAUUACUGAGAAGUUUGUUAUUAUUCCUGAUCAGCAAGUGGUGUUUAAGAUGUCUGAAAUGAUCCGGGGCGGGUCGCCUGUGGUUUACGAUAAGAAUAAAGUUUCAAGAUUUGGUGUUUUGGACAAAUAUGCAAAAGAUGGUGAAGGUUUGAAGUGGGUAGAAGUACCUGAUUGUUUUUGUUUCCAUUUAUGGAAUGCUUGGGAAGAGCCGGAAACUGAUGAAAUUGUGGUGAUUGGUUCAUGUAUGACACCACCCGACUCGAUUUUCAAUGAAUGUGAUGAGGGAUUAAAGAGUGUUUUAUCAGAAAUUCGGCU
rnacentral:lncRNA from 1 species